AGAACGAACGCUGGCGGCAUGCCUAACACAUGCAAGUCGAACGCUCACCGGGCUUCGGUUCGGUGGGAGUGGCGCACGGGUGAGUAGCGCGUGGGAACCUGCCCUGUUGUGGGGGAUAACCGAGGGAAACUUCGGCUAAUACCGCAUGCGCCCUGGGAAACCCGGGGAAAGAUUUAUCGCAGCAGGAGGGGCCCGCGUCGGAUUAGGUAGUUGGUAGGGUAACGGCCUACCAAGCCUUUGAUCCGUAGCUGGUCUGAGAGGAUGAUCAGCCACACUGGGACUGAGACACGGCCCAGACUCCUACGGGAGGCAGCAGUGGGGAAUAUUGGACAAUGGGCGCAAGCCUGAUCCAGCAAUGCCGCGUGAGUGAUGAAGGCCUUAGGGUUGUAAAGCUCUUUCGCCCGCGACGAUGAUGACGGUAGCGGGAGAAGAAGCCCCGGCUAACUUCGUGCCAGCAGCCGC
rnacentral:rRNA from 1 species